CGAACAUGCCUUAGACUUGGAACAUGAUCUACAGCGACCUCCUACUUGUUGGGAGAUAUUUACCAAGACACACAAGUCAAAAGAUGGCAACUUUAUAGAUCGUCGAUCAUCGGCAUUAGACGAAGAAAUUGCUGCUAGGGUUGCACAGGCGUCUCAGCCUAGUUUAGAGGGAGGUGAGGAGCAGACUCUAUCCACUGACCAGAUAAAUGAAAUUUAUUAUGAUGUGGUUGGUGAAAGGAAAAAGACCUCCACCCUAUAUGGUCUUGGGGCUCAGGCGAGAGUUGUAUAUGAUCAAGCGAUGGCUCCUAGGGCCAGGGGUCG